AUUGAACGCUGGCGGCAUGCUUUACACAUGCAAGUCGAACGGUAACAGGUCUUCGGAUGCUGACGAGUGGCGAACGGGUGAGUAAUGCAUCGGAACGUGCCCAGUCGUGGGGGAUAACGUAGCGAAAGCUACGCUAAUACCGCAUACGAUCUAUGGAUGAAAGCGGGGGACCGUAAGGCCUCGCGCGAUUGGAGCGGCCGAUGUCAGAUUAGGUAGUUGGUGGGGUAAAGGCUCACCAAGCCAACGAUCUGUAGCUGGUCUGAGAGGACGACCAGCCACACUGGAACUGAGACACGGUCCAGACUCCUACGGGAGGCAGCAGUGGGGAAUUUUGGACAAUGGGCGCAAGCCUGAUCCAGCAAUGCCGCGUGCAGGAAGAAGGCCUCGGUUGUAAC
rnacentral:rRNA from 1 species